GCUGGAGACCCCCAAAAAAUCCCCAAAAUCCUUCAGGUGGGUUUGGGGUCCCCCCCAGGUGAGUUUUGGGGUCCCCCAGGUGAAUUUGGGACCCCCCAGGUGAGUUUUGGGGUCCCCCAGGUGAGGUUUGGGACCCCCCAAAACCCCCAAACCACGCCCGGGGUCGGUCAGGGGUGGGAGGAGUUUAAUGCAGGUGAGUCCAGAUGUGCCCAGGUCAGUCCAGGUGAGCUCAGGUGAGUCCAGAUGUGCCCCAGAUGUGCCCCAGAUGUGCCCAGGUGAGCUCAGGUGAGUCAGUGCAGCAGCUCCAGGCAGCGACAGCCCCGAAAAU
rnacentral:lncRNA from 1 species